rnacentral:rRNA from 1 species
UACGAAGGGUGCAAGCGUUACUCGGAAUUACUGGGCGUAAAGCGUGCGUAGGUGGUUUGUUAAGUCUGCUGUGAAAGCCCCGGGCUCAACCUGGGAAUGGCAGUGGAUACUGGCAAGCUAGAGUGCGGUAGAGGGGUGUGGAAUUCCCGGUGUAGCGGUGAAAUGCGUAGAUAUCUGGAGGAACACCGGUGGCGAAGGCGGCAUCCUGGACCGGUAUUGACGCUGAGGCGCGAAAGCUAGGGGAGCAAACGGG